CUGUAGGCUGCAACUCGCCUACACGAAGUCGGAAUCGCUAGUAAUCGCGGAUCAGCAUGCCGCGGUGAAUACGUUCCCGGGCCUUGUACACACCGCCCGUCACACCAUGGGAGUUGGAGAUACCCGAAGCCUAUGAGCUAACUUUUAGAGGCAGUAGUCGAAGGUAGAAUCAAUGAUUGGGGUGAAGUCGUAACAAGGUAAC
rnacentral:rRNA from 1 species